GGAAACAUCUGUGCUGUGUCUGCUCUUUCUGAUCUCACUGCUGAGCUGCACAACAAACCAAGAGAGGUACACCACCAGACCUCCACCUGCAUCCACCUCUCCACCUGCAUCUACACCUCCUCCUGGUUCCAGCUCCCACACUCUUUCUGCCUUUCUCUCUCCUGUCAUUCUUUCUGUGUUGUCAUUUUUUUGUUCGGUCUGUGUUGUGGUUCUACUGGUGUUACUGGUUCUGCUGCUGAGACAAUGUGUUCACAGGAAACCUGAAGAACGAGAAGAAGCUGGAGAAGAUGACAUUAUAUAUGACAAUGAAAUAACAUACAGCACUGUUAAAAUAUCAAAUGAUCAAAAAGAUCCAAUCAGGUGAUGCAGAGAGCCAGAUGUCGUCUACUCUUCACUGAAGUAGUCCACCAGUCCAACCACUGUCAUCC